UACGUAGGGGGCAAGCGUUGUCCGGAAUUAUUGGGCGUAAAGAGCGUGUAGGCGGUCCGGUAAGUCAGCUGUGAAAGUCAAGGGCUCAACCCUUGAAAGCCGGUUGAUACUGUCGGGCUAGAGUCCGGAAGAGGCGAGUGGAAUUCCCGGUGUAGCGGUGAAAUGCGCAGAUAUCGGGAGGAACACCAGUGGCGAAGGCGGCACUCUGGGCCGGAACUGACGCUGAGGAGCGAAAGCGUGGGGAGCGAACAGG
rnacentral:rRNA from 1 species